CUAAACUACCGUCCUGCAGUAGGGAGAGGAGCGUGGAUUACUGCAGUAGUGUGAAUGAAGUAGUAUCGUGAGGCACACCUGUGGCGGAAGAGGCGGACUCGACGAUCACUAACGUGAGUGAGCGAAGAUAGGUGAGGAGCAAGCAUAGAUAGCCUGGUAGUCCUAGCCAGCAAUGAUGGAUGCGUGGUGUGCCCGGUACCCAAUCCGGGCUGUGCCGAAGCUAACGCGAUAAGCAUCCCGCGUGGGGGAGUGCGGUCGCAAGGCUGAAACUCAAAGGAAUUGACGGGGGCCCGCACAAGCGCUGGAGCAUGUGGUUCACUUUGACGCAACGCGAAGAACCUUUCCUGGGCUCGAAGCACAGUGGACAGCAGUGGAAACAUCCCUUUUUUCAAGCACUGCAGUGGAGGUGAUGCAUGGCAGUGGUCAGCUCAUGUCGUGAGAUGUUGGGUUAAGUCAAGUAACGAGCGCAACCCUUAUCUUUAGUUGCCAGCGGGUCAACCAGGGCACUCUAGAGAAACCGCCUUGGAUAACGGGGAGGAAGGUGGGGAGGAGGUCAAGUCUUCAUGGCCUUUAUGUCCAGGGGUACACACGUGUUACAAUGGCCGGUACAAACAGUGGCAAACCCGCGAGGGGGAGAUAAUAGGAAAAAACAGGCCUCAGUUUGGAUUGGAGUGUGCAACUCUACUCCAUGAAGCUGGAAUAGCUAGUAAUAGCAGAUCAGCACGCUGCGGUGAAUACGUUUCCGGGCCUUGUACACACCGCCCGUCACAUCACGAAAAUGGAGUGCAUUAGAAGCCGGUGCGCUAACCCGCAAGGGGAGCAGCCGUCCAAGGUAUGGUUCAUGAUUGGGGUGAAGUCGUAACAAGGUAACC
rnacentral:rRNA from 1 species